rfam:Aedes albopictus isolate Foshan contig89037, whole genome shotgun sequence.
UGUUCUGUGGCUUGGUUGGUUAAAGCACCGGUCUAACGAUUACGGGGUCGUGGGUUUGAAUCCCACCAGAACGC